GGAGGAACCGCUUUUCCUCCUGGGCCUUCUUUGGGAAGAAAUGUUUGAAUUUGAAGACAUGACCAAGAAAGGUGUUUCCUAAGGAAAAUACAGACCCUCCAUGCUGUCAAAGAAGUGCUCACAGAAUCACAGACUAGGAAGCUGAAAGAAUGAUGGUGCUGGAUACCUGGCAACAGAGAAGUAAGAGGUUCCUGUAGAAGAAGAAAUAAAGCUAAUAGCAAUUUCUUGUGGCAAGUAUUACCACCACAGAAUUAAAAUCGUUAAAACAGCCUUAUUUUGCACAUGGGAAAAUCCUCAUAUAUGCCUCUGUUUCUGUUACAUCACAGUAGGCUUUAUUUAAAUACUAUUUAGUUAGUUAGUUAGUUAGUUAGUUGUUGUUGAGAGGAGUGUGACUAGCAUGCUGUGGUGUUUGGGUGGACUACAAAGAGCAACCCCAGGGAGUCAGUUUUCUCCUUCCACCACAGGUGCCAGGGUCCGAACUGAGGAUGCUACAUUUGGCACCAAGCUCCUUUACCCACUGAGGCAUCUCACCAGUUCCCCACAAACAUAAUCUUUUAAAGCCACACACAGGGAUGAUGAUGAGGUCAGCUUAAUGAGUUUUGAGAUUAGCAAAUUAGCAAAUUUGAAAUUAGCAAAUUCUGCAAAUGUUCCUGUCCCAUCUGAAGCUUUUGUUAUGACUUUCUUGUACAACUGCCUUCACAAACAUGACCCUUUUAUUGAAUGUGAAGUUCAUAUGUUCUCUAUCCUGCUCUGGAAUUUAUAGGAGACAUGUUUCCUAUUUCGUUUAUAUGUAGUAUUGAUAUUUUUUUAAACAGAAAAGUAUCUCAAAAUGAACUGUGUCUCAGUCAGAUUAUUCAUUACAAGUACUGUCUGUUGCCAGAAGUCAGUGAUUACCAUGGUAAAGCUUGUUGCAGGCUUGUCAGAAAUAAUGGCAGCAAGCUACUUGUGAAGGAGUGCUGGAUGGAAAGCCUUGUUUUCCCUUCUCUAUUGUUAGGACCCUGGUCAAGUUCCUGAACUAUUUUUCUUCUCAGUUCUCUUACUGUAAAUGAAGAUGAUAUUAAUCACCUGUCUGAGGAAAACAAGAUAUUAAAUAUCUUCUCUUGGUGGACUGUUUUGUUUAACAUAAGAAACAGAAAAAAACAAAGCUACUUCACUACUUUAUGCUGCCUUCAGAUUCUAGUAUGACAAGCCAAUAGCGAGCACUGUAAGUAAAUUAAUUUAGUACUGUAAUUAAACUUUAGUUUGCUCUAAUUUCACCUCCUCUGUGAACCUUCCCCGAAUUCUCCCUGAACUAAACAAAUGCCUACGUUAUAUGGAGUGCUUCUUUGCCUCUCUCCAGCUUCUAUUAUUGAUCCUAGUUUGCUGUGGUUUUAUUUUUGCAUUUAUUUAUUUUACCUUGUGGCUAUUUUCUAGUCUCUCAUUUAAACUAGUUCAAGAACUACUCACACACUAGUACUUGGUAUUUGUUUUUGCUAUUUGGAAGCCUGAAAUGUCACUCAGUAUAUAGUACAAGCCCAGUGAAGGUUUCACUGGCCAGCUGGGUUUGCAUAUUUGGUUCCCAUAGGCAUGCCGCAUAAAUAGCUCCUGAAUAGCCAUGCCUGCUUGACUUGCUGGUGGCAUGCUCAGUAUUCAUUCCCAGAACGAAAGUAGGUCACAUCUGGGACAUAUGAACAAUUUCAAGACAAGUUUCCUCUGAAAUACAAAGCCCUCAAGUGAACAUAAAAAGUAAUCAAGCUGAUCAUGUCAAAAUUGUAAGCAAUUAAAACUUCAUUAUUAAAUUUUGGUCUUUAUUUCAUUGGUUCAGUUUUGGUCUUUAUUUCAUUGGUUCAUUUUGUCAUACCAGAAAAAUCUACAUUUUAAAAAUCAAAGUAGGAUGACAUUGUAAAA